rnacentral:lncRNA from 1 species
AUAUCCGCAGGGCGGAGCGAGCACUCAGUAAGAAAGGAUAGCUUUUCUCCCUUUUCUGCUUCGCUCCCAACUAAGAAUGCAGAGUCAGGGAGAUGGCGCAGAGACAAUGCUGCUGUCCAUUGAAGCCCUCCAAAGGUCGGAGAUUCGAUCACAGGACAGCCUGGCCUGGACCAAGUCAGGUUGAUAUGGCUAGGCGGCCUGCUGGCGAGAUAGUGGGAGUGGGCGGUCCGCCCCUCAGGACCUCUGACUUGGACAGAUGACUGGAUGACUCUCUGGGGCAGCAUUCACCGGAACUCAUAUGGAGGGGACUGCCUGAGAAACCAACCUGUGUGCCUGGGUCAGGUUGAUAUGGCUAGGCGGCCUGCUGGCGAGAUAGUGGGAGUGGGCGGCCCGCCCCUCAGGACCUCUGACCUGGACAGAUGACUGGAUGACUCUCUGGGGCAGCAUUCACCGGAACUCAUAUGGAGAGGACUGCCUGAGAAACCAACCUGUGUGCCUGGGUCAGGUUGAUAUGGCUAGGCGGCCUGCUGGCGAGAUAGUGGGAGUGGGCGGUCCGCCCCUCAGGACCUCUGACUUGGACAGAUGACUGGAUGACUCUCUGGGGCAGCAUUCACCGGAACUCAUAUGGAGGGGGCUGCCUGAGAAACCAACCUGUGUGCCUGGGUCAGGUUGAUAUGGCUAGGCGGCCUGCUGGCGAGAUAGUGGGAGUGGGCGGUCCGCCCCUCAGGACCUCUGACUUGGACAGAUGACUGGAUGACUCUCUGGGGCAGCAUUCACCGGAACUCAUAUGGAGGGGGCUGCCUGAGAAACCAACCUGUGUGCCUGGGUCAGGUUGAUAUGGCUAGGCGGCCUGCUGGCGAGAUAGUGGGAGUGGGCGGUCCGCCCCUCAGGACCUCUGACUUGGACAGAUGACUGGAUGACUCUCUGGGGCAGCAUUCACCGGAACUCAUAUGGAGGGGGCUGCCUGAGAAACCAACCUGUGUGCCUGGGUCAGGUUGAUAUGGCUAGGCGGCCUGCUGGCGAGAUAGUGGGAGUGGGCGGUCCGCCCCUCAGGACCUCUGACUUGGACAGAUGACUGGAUGACUCUCUGGGGCAGCAUUCACCGGAACUCAUAUGGAGGGGGCUGCCUGAGAAACCAACCUGUGUGCCUGGCCCACCACCUACCAGAGGUAUUGGAAAAGAACGGAUACGGAGGAAGUGGACCCAUUUAGAGGUGAUUAUUUGGAGCAAAUCCCAUCUGCUUUGUCAGUUAUUGAGCAGUUCCGUUCAUAGGCUGGCAAUGGCAGCUUGAUCCACUCUCAAAGUCUUCAUGGAUACACCAGCAGUCCGUUCAGUAAAGUCCAGAUAGCAGCAGUUGCACGACCUAGCAGGAACAACCAGGCCUCAGCUGAAGACAGUAGUCUACAGGAGGCAUUGGACUAGCAUGAAUGUCAGGAGAAACUUACAGCUGUGCCUCUCUUAAGGAAGUGAAGAUCAGUGAAGACAGGAGACCAAAAGGCGUUUAGCUGUGCAAGCAAGCCAAGCCCUUCUCCCAGUCCCUCCAAACAUCACUAGUCCUCCACAGGACUUGUCUCACCAUGUGUUGCCUCAGCAAAACUCACCUUUACAAACACAGCUUUGAAGGCCAGUUUUUUGAGUUAAUAAUGUAAACAAAUGUUAUUCUACGACAAACGUAGAAUUCAAGAGAAAAAUGGAGUAAUGAGUAAACCAGACAUUAAAAAAGAUUCUAUAAAUGAUCGAAUUACCUUUAGGCUACUGCAGCUUAGGUAUAAUGUAAGGGGAGUAAUAAUCUACAAAUAAGCAAAUGAGCCAAGAUGACCAAGAUGGAAAUGGUUUGAUUAGGAAUUUGAUUAGGGAAGUUCUGCCAAGGCAGGGAUAGUUGGGGUGGACACCUUUAGUCCCAGCACUGGGGCUUUAUGCAUGCUAAGGACGAGCUCUAUUGCUGGGCCCCACGCUCUAGAGUCAAUGCUCUAAAAUACUGCACAAACUAAUUCUCAGACAUUAACUGCAGGAAGAAUGCUCUAAUCCUAGAUGAGUGUUUUCAAAACAAAACUUAGCAGCGAAGACCAAAAAAUACAGAAAAAGCACCCAAAACAGACGAAAUGCCAGUUCAUCAGGAAGCCAAAACUUGACAGAAAUAUCUCUCAAAUAACAUUUAAUCUCUCUCCCUUUGUUCUAAUCCUGUCCCCACCCAGCAACCACCUGAUGUGUAAUUUGGUUUUCUAAGUGACCAUAGCCAUCGGUCAGAGACACUAAGCUGGGCCCAAAUAAAAGAAGAAAAUAAAUAAGAAGUUAAAUUAAGUUAAAACCCUUGGGUCUCACUUGAACCAAUAUCUCUUAAAUUUUUGUACAUCGUUGACACCCCUGAGGAUAUUUACAUUUUUCACCUUUAGCGACUAGAAUGUGUAUCAUCUAGCCAGGCAAUGGUACACACCUUUCUUUAAUCCCAAUACUCAGGAGGCAGAGGCAGGUAGAUCCCAGUGUUUGAGGCCAGCCUGGUCUACAGAGAGAGCCUAGGUAGGCCAGGGUUACACAGAGAAACCAAGUCCUAAGAAAAGAGAGGUGUGGGGAAGGGAGAAAUUGUGUAUCACUGUAUGAUCUUUCUUUCCUAAGUUCUACUUGGCUACCUUCUUGUAUGUUCUCAGUAGAUGCUAAUCCUAUUUACAUUGUGGCAUUUUGGUGCUUGUAUUAAGCAAAUCACAAUGGGCCUUCCUUAGGACUGGACUGGAAGGGAACAAUUUCAAUGUCUUUAAGAAGGCAGAGAGAGCCAGAAAAUGGCCGCGGCUAAGAAUUAAGUUUACAAAACCUUCCAGCUGGUAAAUUCCUUACAAAGUACAAAACAGUGUGUAAUUAUUUUCCAAGCGUUUUGUGUGAUUGUCUUUCCAAUCUCCAGUUUAAAAAAGCAGAAAUCAAACCUAGCAGUACAUCUCUGAAGCAAUGACAGCAAUCUAACGUUCCAGAGAAAUGAGGGAGCACGCUGGUUUCACCAGAAUCCAUCCUACCAGUAACGUUAUUCACCGAGAGCUAAGGUCAUGGUUGAUGGUGAACUUUUCCCAUUCUGAAUUUGAUAUGAACAUAACAUUUUAAUAAUAUGAGCAUCUAAGAAACAGACCCAGAUCAAAAGCGGUUUUAACUGGAAACUAAAAUUGCAAUCAGCAGGCACGAUGGUACCUCUUUAUUUUCUCAUUAAAGCUGCCAACAUUCUG